ACUUGCUUUGGAGGCUCUCCAAGUGCUUUACAAACAUGAAGAGAUUAGUGAAGUCUCAGAGCACCCUGAGAGACAGGGAGGUUUUGUUAUCUCUGUUUUACAGAGAGAAAGGCUGGGGCAGCGUGGGGAAGAAGCUAGCACUGCUGCGCCUGGCCUUGUACCUGCUUUGUGAAUGGGGAACGCCCUUCUCCAGGGUUCUCAUUCGAGAGCCCUUCAAAGGGACACAAUUCAGCUCUGAAAGAAUAAGAAAAAGCAAAUGGGACAGCUGAGCCCUGCCACAGAUUGGUGAGGAUGCAUGUGAAGACCUUCAAUUAGUAAGUGGAUGCGAAUGGGAGAAUCUGGGCCCUCUUGACUCUCACCAAGGAGAGAACUUGGUUUCAAAGGCCUAAUAGAGAAAAGGAUGAAGAAAUAUUAGGCACAAGUGAAAAGGGAAGGUUUUCUGGUCCUAUCUGGUGCCACAAUUAUAAUAAUAAAGCAGCUACCUUCUCAGAAGUGCUAAAGGUCUGCACAGAAUGUCCCUAAAGAUAUGCUACAAAACAUCAUCCCAUGGUGUAAUCAAGAGCGAACUCAUGUCCUGUGUACCCUGUGCAAAAUUGUUCCCAUGGAUCUAGUC